rnacentral:rRNA from 1 species
UCCUACGGGAGGCAGCAGCAAGGAAUUUUCCGCAAUGGGCGAAAGCCUGACGGAGCAACGCCGCGUGGGUGAUGAAGCCUCUCGGGGUGUAAAACCCUUUUCUAGGGGAAGAAGAUCUGACGGUACCCUAGGAAUAAGCAUCGGCUAACUACGUGCCAGCAGCCGCGGUAAUACGUAGGAUGCAAGCGUUGUCCGGAAUUACUGGGCGUAAAGAGCGCGCAGGCGGCCCUUUAAGUUGGGCGUGAAAUCUCUCGGCUUAACCGGGAGCGGUCGUCCAAAACUGGAGAGCUAACGAGGGUAGGAGAGGAAAGUGGAAUUCCCGGUGUAGUGGUGAAAUGCGUAGAUAUCGGGAGGAACACCUGUGGCGAAGGCGACUUUCUGGCCUGCUCCUGACGCUGAGGCGCGAAGGCUAGGGUAGCGAACGGGAUUAGAUACCCCGGUAGG